rnacentral:rRNA from 1 species
GGGUGGAGUCGUCGUUGAAAUACCAGUCUGGUCGUGCUGGAUGUCUAACCUGGGUCCGUGAUCCGGAUCAGGGACAGUGUCUGAUGGGUAGUUUAACUGGGGCGGUUGCCUCCUAAAGGGUAACGGAGGCGCCCAAAGGUUCCCUCAGCCUGGUUGGUAAUCAGGUGUUGAGUGUAAGUGCACAAGGGAGCUUGACUGUGAGACCGACGGGUCGAGCAGGGACGAAAGUCGGGACUAGUGAUCCGGCGGUGGCUUGUGGAAGCGCCGUCGCUCAACGGAUAAAAGGUACCCCGGGGAUAACAGGCUGAUCUUCCCCAAGAGUCCAUAUCGACGGGAUGGUUUGGCACCUCGAUGUCGGCUCGUCGCAUCCUGGGGCUGGAGUCGGUCCCAAGGGUUGGGCUGUUCGCCCAUUAAAGCGGUACGCGAGCUGGGUUUAGAACGUCGUGAGACAGUUCGGUCCCUAUCCGCUGCGCGCGCAGGAACAUUGAGAAGGGCUGUCCCUAGUACGAGAGGACCGGGACGGACGAACCUCUGGUGUGCCAGUUGUUCUGCCAAGGGCAUGGCUGGUUGGCUACGUUCGGGAGGGAUAACCGCUGAAAGCAUCUAAGCGGGAAGCCUGCUUCGAGAUGAGUGUUCCCACCCCCUUUGAGGGGUUAAGGCUCCCAGUAGACGACUGGGUUGAUAGGCCGGAUCUGGAAGCCCAGUAAUGGGUGGAGGUGACCGGUACUAAUAGGCCGAGGGCUUGUCCAUAUUU